GUGGACUGGUACACGGGAACCUGGAGUGUCAUGUUGAUAUGUAUGGCUGAGUGUAUAGUGUUCGCCUGGAUUUAUGGUUCGCACAGAAUCGACCGUGACGUCCGCCUGAUGCUCCACCGGCCACUUCCCGCCAUCAUCCGAUUAAGUACAGCAUUUCUUAUGCCCGUUUUUCUCGCGUGUCUCCUCCUGAUCAGUAUCUUUACGUACAAGCCGCCCUCCUUUGGAGAGUAUACCUACCCCGUAUAUGCCCGAACUAUAGGAUGGUGUUUUACCUUUUCGUCCU